AACGAACGCUGGCGGCAGGCUUAACACAUGCAAGUCGAGCGCAUCCUUCGGGGUGAGCGGCGGACGGGUUAGUAACGCGUGGGAACGUGCCCUCUUCUACGGAAUAGCCCAGGGAAACUUGGAUUAAUGCCGUAUACGCCCUUCGGGGGAAAGAUUUAUCGGAGGAGGAUCGGCCCGCGUUGGAUUAGGUAGUUGGUGGGGUAAUGGCCUACCAAGCCGACGAUCCAUAGCUGGUUUGAGAGGAUGAUCAGCAACACUGGGACUGAGACACGGCCCAGACUCCUACGGGAGGCAGCAGUGGGGAAUCUUGGACAAUGGGGGCAACCCUGAUCCAGCCAUGCCGCGUGAUCGAUGAAGGCCUUAGGGUUGUAAAGAUCUUUCAGCUGGGAAGAUAAUGACGGUACCAGCAGAAGAAGCCCCGGCUAACUCCGUGCCAGCCGCCGCGGUAAAAC
rnacentral:rRNA from 1 species